GACAGAGGGUGCAAACGUUGUUCGGAUUUACUGGGCGUAAAGCGCGUGUAGGCGGCUUGGCAAGUCGGAUGUGAAAGCCCACGGCUCAACCGUGGAAGCGCAUCCGAAACGGCCUCGCUCGAGUCUCGGAGAGGAAGGUGGAAUUCCCGGUGUAGAGGUGAAAUUCGUAGAUAUCGGGAGGAACACCAGUGGCGAAGGCGGCAGCCUGGACCGAUACUGACGCUGAGGUGCGAAAGCGUGGGGAGCAAACAGG
rnacentral:rRNA from 1 species